rnacentral:rRNA from 1 species
AGUCGAGAGGCAUCCGCAAUGGGCGAAAGCCCGACGGUGCGACGCCGCGUGGACGAUGAAGGCCUUAGGGUUGUAAAGUCCUGUCACAGGGGGGAGAACAGCACCCAUCUUAAUAGGCUGGGUGUCUGACGUUGCUCCUGGAGAAAGACCCGGCUAACUCCGUGCCAGCAGCCGCGGUAAUACGGAGGGGUCGAGCGUUAUUCGGAUUCACUGGGCGUAAAGGGCGCGUAGGCGGGAUCGUGGGUCGGCCGUGAAAUCCACCGGCUCAACCGGUGAACUGCGGUCGAAACUACGAUUCUUGAGCUCGGUAGAGGAAGGCGGAAUUCCUGGUGUAGCGGUGGAAUGCGUAGAUAUCAGGAGGAACACCGGUAGCGAAGGCGGCCUUCUGGGCCGUAGCUGACGCUGAGGCGCGAAAGCCGGGGGAGCGAACAGGAUUAGAUACCCUGGUAGUCCCGGCCGUAAACGAUGGGUACUAGGUGUAGGGGGUACUGACCCCCUCUGUGCCGCAGUUAACGCAUUAAGUACCCCGCCUGGGGAGUACGCACGCAAGUGUGAAACUCAAAGGAAUUGACGGGGCCCCGCACAAGCGGUGGAGCACGUGGAUCAAUUCGACGCAACGCGAAGAACCUUACCGGGGUUUGACAUGGGCCGGACCGGCAUGGAAACAUGCCUUCCCUUCGGGGCCGGUUCACAGGUGCUGCAUGGCUGUCGUCAGCUCGUGUCGUGAGAUGUUGGGUUAAGUCCCGCAACGAGCGCAACCCUCGUCGCCUGUUGCCAUCAGGUUAAGCUGGGCACUCUGGCGAGACUGCCGGCGAUAUGCCGGAGGAAGGCGGGGAUGACGUCAAGUCCUCAUGGUCCUUACAUCCCGGGCUUCACACGUGCUACAAUGGCCGGUACAAAGGGUUGCAAUACCGCGAGGUGGAGCCAAUCCCAAAAAGCCGGUCUCAGUUCGGAUUGGAGUCUGCAACUCGACUCCAUGAAGUCGGAAUCGCUAGUAAUCGUGGAUCAGCAUGCCACGGUGAAUACGUUCCCGGGGCUUGUACACACCGCCCGUCAAGCCACGAAAGCUGAUAGUACCCGAAGUCGCUGAGCCGACCCGCAAGGGAAGCAGGCGCCGAAGGUAAGAUUAGCGAUUGGGGCU